rnacentral:rRNA from 1 species
UGGGGAAUAUUGCACAAUGGGCGCAAGCCUGAUGCAGCGACGCCGCGUGAGGGAUGACGGCCUUCGGGUUGUAAACCUCUUUCAGCACAGACGAAGCGCAAGUGACGGUAUGUGCAGAAGAAGGACCGGCCAACUACGUGCCAGCAGCCGCGGUAAUACGUAGGGUCCGAGCGUUGUCCGGAAUUACUGGGCGUAAAGAGCUCGUAGGUGGUUUGUCGCGUUGUUCGUGAAAACUCACAACUCAAUUGUGGGCGUGCGGGCGAUACGGGCAGACUUGAGUACUGCAGGGGAGACUGGAAUUCCUGGUGUAGCGGUGGAAUGCGCAGAUAUCAGGAGGAACACCGGUGGCGAAGGCGGGUCUCUGGGCAGUAACUGACGCUGAGGAGCGAAAGCGUGGGGAGCGAACA